CCUACGGGAGGCAGCAGUGGGGAAUAUUGGGCAAUGGGCGCAAGCCUGACCCAGCAACGCCGCGUGAAGGAAGAAGGCUUUCGGGUUGUAAACUUCUUUUAUCAGGGACGAAGCAAGUGACGGUACUUGCUGAAUAAGCCACGGUUAACUACGUGCCAGCAGCCGCGGGAAUACGUAGGUGGCAAGCGUUAUCCGGAUUUACUGGGUGUAAAGGGCGUGUAGGCGGGAGUGCAAGUCAGAUGUGAAAACUAUGGGCUCAACCCAUAGCCUGCAUUUGAAACUGUACUUCUUGAGUGCUGGAGAGGCAAGCGGAAUUCCGGGUGUAGCGGUGAAAUGCGUAGAUAUACGGAGGAACACCAGUGGCGAAGGCGGAUUGCUGGACAGUAACUGACGCUGAGGCGCGAAAGCGUGGGGAGCAAACAGGAUUAGAUACCCGUGUAGUC
rnacentral:rRNA from 1 species